AAUAAAUCGAAAAAAUUGGCCAUUUUUGUUGUUUUCUGGGUUACUCAGAGAACAGGAGAAAAAUCGCCCUUCCGACUUCCCUUCUAAAACAAUGGCACAUCCAUCAGUAAUAUCGUCCUUUUUUUUUUUUUUAUUCUAUAGAAUAAAUUCAAGUAGCAAUUUCAAGCGUAGAGAAGAAAUAAGGACAACGUGAGUGAGAGUGUGGGGGAAACUUGCAUAAAUUAACAUCACUAUAACAUUAUAAUGAUAAAUCAAAAGUGAAAUGAAUACGUUGCACAUACAGUAUAGUAAUAUGUUAAAUUGUGAAACCGACAUGAUACAAAAAAAAAAAAAAAAAAAAAAAAAACAUGAACAAAUACCGUGUAGAUAAUUACAAAAAUUGAUGAUGAUGUAGAGUUAUAAAGAUUACACGUCGGCCGGCCGCGGUUAAUCUCGGAGGAUUAUACAACGCGAUAAUAUGAAGAAAACGAAACGAAAAAAUUGUUGACGAG